GACGAACGCUGGCGGCGUGCUUAAUACAUGCAAGUCGAACGAUGAAGCGGUGCUUGCUCCGUGGAUUAGUGGCGAACGGGUGAGUAAUACGUGAGUGACCUACCUUUGACUCUGGGAUAAGCCUCGGAAACUGCGUCUAAUAACGGAUACGACCAUUCUCUGCAUGGGGUGUUGGUGGCAAGCGAUAUUGAGUGGUUUUAGAUGGGCUCACGUCCUAUCCGGUUGUUGGUGAGGUAAUGGCUUACCAAGGCGGCGAUGUGUAGCCGGCCUGAGAGGGUGAUCGGCCACACUGGGACUGAGACACGGUCCAGACUCCUACGGGAGGCAGCAGUGGGGAAUAUUGGACAAUGGGCGAAAGCAUGAUGCAGCGACGCCGCGUGAGGGAUGACGGCCUUCGGGUUGUAAACCUCUGUUAGCAUCGAAGAAGCGAAAGAGGGGGGAGGGGCAGAGAGAGCGGGGGCUAACCAUG
rnacentral:rRNA from 1 species